AAGUAUCUGGCCAGCAAGCUGUCAGCGUCCACAGCUUUUACAGGCUCAUCAUUUGUACAAAUACAGAAGGAGCUGAUCUACACUGCUAUGUCCAUAAAGGACAUGAGGCAAAACAGGCCUCACCUCUAGCCUCACACGUCUGUUCCCCAACAGUCAUCGAUGGGGAGAACAGAAUUAGGAUCUACGUGAAGGAGUGUGAGCUGGAUAGGCAGUUGUCACCUGGGUGGGAGAACUAUAUGCAAAAAUACACGCUAUGUUACUGAGUUGAAAGCUCCCCCCACUGGAGUCAGCACAGAGGGAGGGGAGGAAACAGCCGCAUACUGGAAGUGGUAUGUGGUGAUGGAUUAGGUACGGCAGGAGCUGCAACUCCAUCACCCCGCCUGUCAUCUUCUCCUCUCCAUCCCAGAAGGGUCCAGAUGUGGAGGAAG